rnacentral:rRNA from 1 species
AGUCGAACGAGUUCUGCGACUUCGGUCAAAUGAACUUAGUGGCGGACGGGUGAGUAACGCGUGAGCACCUGCCUUUCAGAGGGGGGUAACAUUUGGAAACAGAUGCUAAUACCGCAUAAGACCGCAUGAUCAAAGGAGCAAUCCGCUGAAAGAUGGGCUCGCGUCCGAUUAGAUAGUUGGUGAGGUAACGGCUCACCAAGUCGACGAUCGGUAGCCGGACUGAGAGGUUGAACGGCCACAUUGGGACUGAGACACGGCCCAGACUCCUACGGGAGGCAGCAGUGGGGAAUAUUGCACAAUGGGCGAAAGCCUGAUGCAGCAACGCCGCGUGAGGGAAGACGGUUUUCGGAUUGUAAACCUCUGUUUUCGGUGACGAACAAUGACGGUAACCGAGUAGGAAGCCACGGCUAACUACGUGCCAGCAGCCGCGGUAAUACGUAGGUGGCAAGCGUUAUCCGGAAUUACUGGGUGUAAAGGGAGCGCAGGCGGGAUAGCAAGUCAGCUGUGAAAACUAUGGGCUCAACCCAUAAACUGCAGUUGAAACUGUUAUUCUU